AGAAUCAACGCUGGCGGCGUGCCUCAGACAUGCAAGUCGAACGAUUAAAGCUCUCUUCGGAGAGUGUAUAGAGUGGCGCACGGGUGAGUAACACGUAAGUAAUCUACCCUCGAGUGGGGAAUAACGUCCGGAAACGGACGCUAAUACCGCAUAAUGCAGCGGCACCGCAAGGUGACAGUUGUUAAAGAUUUAUCGCUUGAGGAGGAGCUUGCGGCAGAUUAGCUAGUUGGUAAGGUAAUGGCUUACCAAGGCUACGAUCUGUAACCGGUCUAAGAGGACGGUCGGUCACACUGACACUGAAUAACGGGUCAGACUCCUACGGGAGCAGCAGUCGGGAAUUUUGGGCUAAGUGGGUACGAAAGCCUAGACCCAGACAACGCCGCGUAGAACGGAGUAGAAGUUAGUUUCGGUAAGUAGUAAACGUUACGAAAGAACGUAGG
rnacentral:rRNA from 1 species